rnacentral:rRNA from 1 species
GACGAACGCUGGCGGCGUGCUUAACACAUGCAAGUCGAACGGAAAGGCCCUGCUUUUGUGGGGUGCUCGAGUGGCGAACGGGUGAGUAACACGUGAGUAACCUGCUCUUGACUUUGGGAUAACUUCAGGAAACUGGGGCUAAUACCGGAUAGGAGCUCCUGCUGCAUGGUGGGGGUUGGAAAGUUUCGGCGGUUGGGGAUGGACUCGCGGCUUAUCAGCUUGUUGGUGGGGUAGUGGCUUACCAAGGCUUUGACGGGUAGCCGGCCUGAGAGGGUGACCGGCCACAUUGGGACUGAGAUACGGCCCAGACUCCUACGGGAGGCAGCAGUGGGGAAUAUUGCACAAUGGGCGGAAGCCUGAUGCAGCAACGCCGCGUGCGGGAUGACGGCCUUCGGGUUGUAAACCGCUGUCGCCUGUGACGAAGCGUGAGUGACGGUAAUGGGUAAAGAAGCACCGGCUAACUACGUG